rnacentral:rRNA from 1 species
GAUGAACGCUAGCGGCAGGCCUAACACAUGCAAGUCGAGGGGCAGCACAGGUAGCAAUACUGGGUGGCGACCGGCGGAUGGGUGCGUAACGCGUAUGCAACCUACCAUUGAUUGGGGCAUAGCCCGAAGAAAUUCGGAUUAAUACUCCAUAAUAUUCAUCAAAGGCAUCUUUUAUGAAUUAAAGCUUUUGCGAUCAAUGAUGGGCAUGCGUGACAUUAGUUAGUUGGUGAGGUAACGGCUCACCAAAACGAUGAUGUCUAGGGGUUCUGAGAGGAUUAUCCCCCACACUGGUACUGAGACACGGACCAGACUCCUACGGGAGGCAGCAGUGAGGAAUAUUGGUCAAUGGACGCAAGUCUGAACCAGCCAUGCCGCGUGCAGGAUGACGGCCCUAUGGGUUGUAAACUGCUUUUCCACGGGAAGAACCCUCGACGUGUCGGAGACUGACGGUACCGUGGAAUAAGCAUCGGCUAACUCCGUGCC